UACGUAGGUGGCGAGCGUUGUCCGGAAUUAUUGGGCGUAAAGGGCUCGUAGGCGGUUUGUCACGUCAGGAGUGAAAACUCGGGGCUCAACCCCGAGCCUGCUUCUGAUACGGGCAGACUAGAGGUAUGCAGGGGAGAACGGAAUUCCUGGUGUAGCGGUGAAAUGCGCAGAUAUCAGGAGGAACACCGGUGGCGAAGGCGGUUCUCUGGGCAUUACCUGACGCUGAGGAGCGAAAGUGUGGGGAGCGAACAGG
rnacentral:rRNA from 1 species